rnacentral:rRNA from 1 species
GUGCCAGCCGCCGCGGUAAGACGAACCGUCCUAACGUUGUUCGGAAUCACUGGGCUUAAAGGGCGCGUAGGCGGCUCAUCAAGUCCGGGGUGAAAGCCUCCAGCUUAACUGGAGAAGUGCCUCGGAUACUGGUGGGCUUGAGGGAGGUAGGGGCAACUGGAACUUCCGGUGGAGCGGUGAAAUGCGUUGAUAUCGGAAGGAACGCCGGUGGCGAAAGCGAGUUGCUGGAUCUCUUCUGACGCUGAGGCGCGAAAGCUAGGGGAGCAAACGGGAUUAGAAACCCGCGUAGUCC